AGGACUCCGCGUGAGGGAUNCGACCUUCGGGUUGUAACCUUCUUUCNCCAGGGACGAANCUUUGGUGACGGUCCUGGAGAAGAAGCNCCGCUAACUCCGUGCCAGCAGCCGCGGUAAUACGUAGGGUGCGAGGCUUGUCCGGAAUUAUUGGGCGUAAAGAUCUUGUAGUCGGUUUGUAAAGUCNACGGUGAAACCCCAGGUCUUAACCCUGNGUCUGCGGUGGGUACGGCCAUACUAGAGUGUGGUANNNGAGAGUGAAAUUCCUGAUGUACCGGUGAAAUGCGCAGAUAUCAGGAGGAACACCGAUGUCGAAGCCAGGUCUCUGGGCCAUUACUGACGCUNAGAAGCGAAAGCAUGGGGAGCGACCAGGAUUAGAUACCCUGGUAGUCCAUGCCGUAAACGUUGGGCGUUAGGUGUGGAAUUCAUUCCACGAGUUCCGUCCCGCAGCUAACGCAUUAAGCACUCCGCCUGGGGAGUUCGACCGCAAGGCUAAAACUCAAAGGAAUUGCCGGGGGCCCGCCCAAGCGGCGGAGCAUGCGGAUUAAUUCGAUCCAACGCGAAGAACCUUACCAAGGCUUGUCAUACACCGNAAUCAUGCAGAGAUGUGUGAGC
rnacentral:rRNA from 1 species